GUGCCAGCAGCCGCGGUAAUACGGAAGGUCCGAGCGUUAUCCGGAUUUAUUGGGUUUAAAGGGAGCGCAGGCGGGAUGUUAAGUCAGCCGUUAAAGUUCGGGGCCCAACCCCGUGUUGCGGUUGAUACUGUCGUCCUUUAGUCCGCAAGAGGCCGGUGGAAUUCGUGGUGUAGCGGUGAAAUGCAUAGAUAUCACGAGGAACUCCGAUUGCGAAGGCAGCCGGCUAGGGCGCGACUGACGCUCAUGCUCGAAGGCGCGGGUAUCAAACAGGAUUAGAUACCCUGGUAGUCCGCGCGGUAAACUAUGGAUGCUCGCGGUGUGGCCCAUGCGGUUGCGCCGCCAAGCGAAAGCGUUAAGCAUCCCACCUGGGGAGUACGCCGGCAACGGUGAAACUCAAAGGAAUUGACGGGGGCCCGCACAAGCGGAGGAACAUGUGGUUUAAUUCGAUGAUACGCGAGGAACCUUACCCGGGCUUGAAAUGGUCAGUGUGGUAUUCAGAGACGAAUACCUUUCCCUUUUGGGAGCUGAUUGUAGGUGCUGCAUGGUUGUCGUCAGCUCGUGCCGUGAGGUGUCGGCUUAAGUGCCAUAACGAGCGCAACCCCUUUUCCUAGUUGCCAUCGGGUCAUGCCGGGAACUCUAGGGACACUGCCAUCGCAAGAUGUGAGGAAGGCGGGGAUGACGUCAAAUCAGCACGGCCCUUACGUCCGGGGCUACACACGUGUUACAAUGGGGGGCACAGAAAGCAGAAUGUCGGCGACGGCGUUCCAAUCCAUAAAUCCCCUCCCAGUUCGGACUGGAGCCUGCAACCCGGCUCCACGAAGCUGGAUUCGCUAGUAAUCGCGCAUCAGCCAUGGCGCGGUGAAUACGUUCCCGGGCCUUGUACACACCGCCCGU
rnacentral:rRNA from 1 species